UAGUCCACACCGUAAACGAUGGAUACUAGGCGGUUGAAGUGUUAACCCUUUGACUGCCGGAGCUCACGCAUUAAGUAUCCCGCCUGGGGAGUACGGUCGCAAGGCUAAAACUCAAAGGAAUUGACGGGGGCCCGCACAAGCGGUGGAGUAUGUGGUUUAAUUCGAAGCAACGCGCAGAACCUUACCUGGGCUUAACAUUCAGCGACGCUACCAGAGAUGGUAGUUUCCCUUCGGGGACGCUGGGAUAGGUGCUGCAUGGCUGUCGUCAGCUCGUGUCGUAAGAUGUUGGGUUAAGUCCCGCAACGAGCGCAACCCUUGUCCUUAGUUGCCAGCAUUAAGUUGGGCACUCUGGGGAGACUGCCGGUGUUAAACCGGAGGAAGGCGGGGAUGACGUCAAGUCCUCAUGGCCCUUACGUCCAGGGCUACACACGUACUACAAUGGCAAAGACAAAGGGCAGCGAAGCCGCGAGGUGGAGCCAAUCCCAAAAACAUUGUCUCAGUCCGGAUUGAAGUCUGCAACUCGACUU
rnacentral:rRNA from 1 species